UUCUCUCUUCAAGUUCUCUUCAUUUUCCCAAUUUGAUUUACACGUCCUCUAUUCACGUUCUCUCUUUCUCAGUUCAUCUUCUUCGUUCCUCUUGUUAAUGUUGUUCUUCUCUUCUCUUUACGUUCUCCCCACAUUGCAUCAACGCCAUAUUCUCCCCACAUUGUUAGUUCUCCAUGCCGUCAUCUCUGAGACGUCUUCUCUUACAUUCAAGAUGACGCUUGUCCUCACAGAUUAGCACUCUUGUCUUUCAGAAAGUGAUGCGAACUCUGCUCCGAAUCCUAUCAAAGGCUCCUCUACUCCGUCUCCCACCGUUUGCCUUCUUCUCUCCGCCGCCAACUCUGCUUAAGCCAUUAAUGCGGGUCUAGCUGAUGUUGUGCUGGUCUUGCUACAAGUUUUCCUGGUAUCUUUUUUUCUAAUAAUUGAUGAAUUGUCAACAUUUACUUGAAAAUUUUGUUAACUUGAUUGGUCCAUGCACCAAUUGAAAUUAAGGAUAAAAGCUCAGACUAAUCUCUGCCUAUUUUGAUUGCAUAUAUGUCAAUAAAACAAAAUAUUUGCUUCACUUUUUUUUACAUUGAAAAGUAUGUUUGUAAACAUGAUCUUCAAGUCAA